rnacentral:lncRNA from 1 species
UGGUCCGCUGCUGCCGCUCACAGCCACUCAUUCCACCGAGAGGGAGGAUUCUGACCAGGUAAAAUCCGCCGUUCAGGCCGUGGCCGGCGGCAAGACCGGAGCUGUAUAGCGCCGUCCAUCUCCGACGCUCUUCUCCGCCCGGAGCUGCCACGGUAGCCACACCCGUCUCCGGCGCUCUGCUCGCUCGCGUCAGGCGCGCUGCGCCACGCCCGGACGUGGCCUUGGCUGCUGGCGGCAAGACGGUGGCCGUCGCAGCUAGUGCUGCCCACCUCCAGCGCACCCAACGGCAGGCCAAGGUUCUGGCUGAACUUUGAUUCUAAGUAAGAUUGAGCUGAUGUCUCUUUACUAAAUCAACUCAUGAUGCUGAUGUAUAAUUGCUCUCCCUCUUUAUUUGUCAGCAACUAGAGCUCAAAAAGCUGCUAUUGUGCUUCAUUUGAUAGCAAGUGGAGCUAAAAAAUUCUGCUACUGUGCUUUAUUUAACAGCAAGUUGAGCUAAAGAAUUCUGUUAUUGUGCUUCAGUUGACAGCAAGUGGAGCUAAAAAAAUUCUGCUAUUGUGCUUCAUUUAACAGCAAGUAGAGCUAAAAAGUUAUGCUAUUGUGCUUCAUUUAACAGCAAGUAGAGCUCAAAAAUUCUGCUAUUAUGCUUCAUUUAACAGCAAGUAGAGCACAAUAAUUCUUCUAUUAUGCUUUAUGUAACAGCAAGAACAUUUGCACUUAUUUUAUAGCAAGAAGAGUUCUAAAAUUCAGCUAUUAAACAUAAACCACACAUAAGAGUAGAGGGAAUGGAUAUUUUGACAGUAGCAGAAACACGUAUCACACUACAAAACCACAAGUCCACACAUAACUAGUGAUUUGAACUAUUAAUAGUAACUAGUACACACUGACAGUAGCAUCCAAAAGGCAACUACAUCCACCAUAAGCUUUAGUAAUUCCCACUAGCUGUAAAGAAGGCCAUAAACCCAGUUUCUGAGCCUCUCCCUCUCCCAGUUCCUCCCACACUUCCUCUGCCAUUGCCUCUCCCUCUAACUGCAGUUGUGCUACCUCUAGGGACAUCAUUGUUAGUUGUUGAUGAACUUCUAGGAGGUAUAAACCUGGAUGUUGUAGCUUGAGAGCUUGCUGCAACUUGAGAGGGUGCAGCUUGAGAUCUUGCUGCAGAUUGAGACCUUGCUGCAACUUGAGAUCUUGUUGGGCCUGAAGCUCUAGCUGCUGCAGCCUUGCUUGUAGAUGCAUCUGUCUGUGCUUGCUGCAAGGAAAACAGAUCAGUCAAACAACAAUUGCACUUUUUUGUAAAAGACCAACACAGCAUGAAAAUAAAAUUACCUCUGUUUCCCUCACUUUUCUCCCUCUCUUCCCAAGAUAUGACUUUCUUUUCUUGGCGUUAUCUCCUUUCUUUUUACAGGAAGUUUUGUUGUGCCCCUGACCACCACAACUUCCACAUGUGAUCUGUAUGCCAUGCUUGCUCAGUUUCUUCCCCUUGGGUGCUUCCCCCUCUUCUCUCUUCCUAUCAUUGUUCUUUUUCCUGGCUCCUGGCAUGGCAAUGUAGCCAGGUGCUACUGGCCUAGGGUUUUGAGACAUAGGCCAGCUUUCUUCUCCUUCAACUGGUUGCAGGCAAUGCUCAUAUUUUUUUUUGAAAGUAUCAAUGUAGUAGCACUUGUCAAUGAAAUCCUCUACUUUUCUUCCACUCUUAUAGAUAGCACAAAUUGCAUGACAACAAGGAAGGCCUGCAAGCUGAAAGGAACCACAUGAGCAAGUCCAUUUCUCAAGGUUAACAGUGUACCUCCUACCUCUGCUAUUCAAAUGCUUCACCUCAAAACCAUCCUUUCCAUUCCAGAGCACCUCCAAGAACUGAGUUCUCUUGAUAUUGGCCUUAAUCUUCUUGAAGAUGUUUGGGCAAAUUAUGCCAUUCCACUUCUCACUCUUUGUUUUCUGCUCUUGAACUCUAACCAUCAAUUUUUUCCUAAUCUUUUCUUGCUGUGAAAUAAUGGGGUGGAACCUAGCUUCUAUGAUGGCAUUAUUAAAUGAUUCACAAGGGUUGUUGUCACCUGACUCACAAUUUGCUCCUUUUGGAAAGAAAGCCCUAGCCCAAUGCUUUGGGUCUGUCUUCAUGAUAUCUUUUGCACCUUCUGGAGUUGGUUGAGCAAGCUUGGCCUUGUUGU